rnacentral:rRNA from 1 species
AACGAACGCUGGCGGCAUGCCUAACACAUGCAAGUCGAACGAGACCUUCGGGUCUAGUGGCGCACGGGUGCGUAACGCGUGGGAACCUGCCUUUAGGUUCGGAAUAACUCAGAGAAAUUUGAGCUAAUACCGGAUGAUGUCUUCGGACCAAAGAUUUAUCGCCUUUAGAUGGGCCCGCGUUGGAUUAGCUAGUUGGUGGGGUAAAGGCCUACCAAGGCGACGAUCCAUAGCUGGUCUGAGAGGAUGAUCAGCCACACUGGGACUGAGACACGGCCCAGACUCCUACGGGAGGCAGCAGUGGGGAAUAUUGGACAAUGGGCGAAAGCCUGAUCCAGCAAUGCCGCGUGAGUGAUGAAGGACUUAGGGUUGUAAAGCUCUUUUACCCGAGAUGAUAAUGACAGUAUCGGGAGAAUAAGCUCCGGCUAACUCCGUG